AAUAUCCUUUUAACAAAUUAUGCGUAUUUAAGGAGAUAGGGCUGCGCAUGCGCAGAACGUAUCUCCUUACCCUUGCAUUUUUUGGUAAGACGAUGUUAACAAAAGUUGUUCGUCUUGAUGAGGGCUACAACUUUGCUUAAUAUCCUUUUAACAAAUUAUGCGUAUUUAAGAAGAUAGCGCUGCGCAUGCGCAGAACGUAACUCCUUACGCUUGCAUUUUUUGGUAAGACGAUGUU
rnacentral:miRNA from 1 species